rnacentral:misc_RNA from 1 species
UCCGGUUUGUCACCGGCAGUCUCGUUAAAGUGCCCAACUGAAUGAUGGCAAUUAACGACAAGGGUUGCGCUCGUUGCGGGACUUAACCCAACAUCUCACGACACGAGCUGACGACAGCCAUGCAGCACCUGUGUUACGGUUCCCUUUCGGGCACUCUCCCAUCUCUGGGAGAUUCCGUACAUGUCAAGGGUAGGUAAGGUUUUUCGCGUUGCAUCGAAUUAAUCCACAUAAUCCACCGCUUGUGCGGGUCCCCGUCAAUUCCUUUGAGUUUUAACCUUGCGGCCGUACUCCCCAGGCGGUCAACUUCACGCGUUAGCUUCGUUACCAAGGGAGUUAAUCCCCCGACAACCAGUUGACAUAGUUUAGGGCGUGGACUAC